GUCUUUUUGAAUAGAAUUUAAAGUCGAAUCUGCCCACUGAUUAAUAAUUAAAGGGCUGCAGUAUAUUGACUGUACAAAGGUAGCAUAAUAAUUAGUCUUUUAAUUGAAGACUUGUAUGAAGGAUUUGAUGAGAUAUAAACUGUCUCUUUUUUAUAAUUAGAAUUUAAUUUUUUAGUAAAAAAGCUAAAAUUAAUUUAAAAGACGAGAAGACCCUAUAGAGUUUUAUAAUUAAUUUAAUUAUAGAUUUAUAUUUAAUUUUAAAGUUAAUUAAUUUAAUUAUUUUAUUGGGGUGAUAGAAAAAUUAAAUUAACUUUUUUUAAAAAAUUAAACAUUAAUUAAUGAAUAUUUGAUCCAUAAUUUAUGAUUAUAAGAAAAAAUUACCUUAGGGAUAACAGCGUAAUUUUUUUUUUUAGUUCUUAUAAGAAAAAAAGUUUGCGACCUCGAUGUUGGAUUAAGAUAAAAUUUAAAUGCAGAAGUUUAAAAUUUUGAUCUGUUCGAUCAUUAAAAUCUUACA
rnacentral:rRNA from 1 species